GUUUAGUUAAAAAGUCACGAGAAUACACUGACAAGGUUAGUUAAUCUUCAAACUAGAGUUCUGUUAUGCUCUGUGAAGGCGUAUUUAGGUUUUACUAGGAUGUUGUUGAAAAAUUCAUUACAGUUUGUGCUGAUUGCUUAAGAGCUUUCAUUGUAAAGCUUUAUUGAAAUAGAAAUAGAAGUUGAUUGUGUUGUUAAUUA
rnacentral:lncRNA from 1 species